CGGGAAGCUAGCUCAGCUUGGUAGAGCACUUGGUUUGGGACCAAGGGGUCGCAGGUUCGAAUCCUGUCUUCCCGA
rnacentral:tRNA from 1 species